UCCAACGGUAAUGAACCGUUAAUGCUCAGUCCCUACAGUUUCUUAUUUAAAUUCUCACAUAUUCAUUUUCUUUCUCUUCCACGCCCUCUCCUCUUCCCUCUCCGAACUCCACUCUGUCCCGCUUUUCCUCUCUCUCUCUCUCUCUCUCUCUCUCUCUCUCUCUCUCUCUCUCUCUCUCUCUCUCUCUCUCUCGGCUAGCCCCAUUACAGCCCAACUCGGACCGUUGUCGCAUCGUCAUUCCUACUUAAAUCAGCCCACACUUGCGGCUAGUUCUCAUUCUUGGCCCCAGCCCAAAAGCAUAAGAUCUGCUCUUGGAAAGCUCAAUGCGGUGGAGGAUAAAAUUCUUUCGAUGCUUUUGGUGCAGAGUUAGAGGACGAAGAGGAGGAGGCUGAGCCCGAGG